GGAGAGCUUGCUCUCUGGAUCAGUGGCGAACGGGUGAGUAACACGUGAGCAACGUGCCCCAGACUCUGGGAUAACAGUUGGAAACAGCUGCUAAUACCGGAUACGAGACGUGAUCGCAUGGUCAACGUUUGGAAAGAUUUUUCGGUCUGGGAUCGGCUCGCGGCCUAUCAGCUAGUUGGUGAGGUAAUGGCUCACCAAGGCGUCGACGGGUAGCCGGCCUGAGAGGGUGACCGGCCACACUGGGACUGAGACACGGCCCAGACUCCUACGGGAGGCAGCAGUGGGGAAUAUUGCACAAUGGGCGAAAGCCUGAUGCAGCAACGCCGCGUGAGGGAUGACGGCCUUCGGGUUGUAAACCUCUUUUAGCAGGGAAGAAGCGAAAGUGACGGUACCUGCAGAAAAAGCGCCGGCUAACUACGUGCCAGCAGCCGCGGUAAUACGUAGGGCGCAAGCGUUAUCCGGAAUUAUUGGGCGUAAAGAGCUCGUAGGCGGUUUGUCGCGUCUGCUGUGAAAACCCGAGGCUCAACCUCGGGCCUGCAGUGGGUACGGGCAGACUAGAGUGCGGUAGGGGAGAUUGGAACUCCUGGUGUAGCGGUGGAAUGCGCAGAUAUCAGGAAGAACACCGAUGGCGAAGGCAGAUCUCUGGGCCGUAACUGACGCUGAGGAGCGAAAGGGUGGGGAGCAAACAGGCUUAGAUACCCUGGUAGUCCACCCCGUAAACGUUGGGAACUA
rnacentral:rRNA from 1 species